CAGCAGCCGCGGGAAUACGAAGGGGGCUAGCGUUGCUCGGAAUGACUGGGCGUAAAGGGCGCGUAGGCGGCGGCCAAAGUCAGGCGUGAAAUUCCCGGGCUCAACCUGGGGGCUGCGUUUGAUACUUGGUUGCUUGAGUGGGGAAGAGGGUCGUGGAAUUCCCAGUGUAGAGGUGAAAUUCGUAGAUAUUGGGAAGAACACCGGUGGCGAAGGCGGCGACCUGGUCCUUUACUGACGCUGAGGCGCGAAAGCGUGGGGAGCAAACAGGAUUAGAUACCCCAGUAGUCCCUGUCUCUUAUAC
rnacentral:rRNA from 1 species